UUGACGUGAACUUUAACUGAAGCUCUUGACCUGCAUCCGCAUGAUUUUUUGCACUGCGUUGCUGCCACAUGAUUGGCUGAUUAGAUAACUGCAUGAACGUGCAGGUGUUCUUAUUAAAGUGGAUGUUGUGUGUAUAACUAGCCAGUCAUGUCUAAAUUACGUCCGCUAAGAUUCACCUUCUUCGGUGCUAUAAUACAUAGACUAUUACAAUCCGCUUAUUACUACGAUUGUUUAUUAAACUGUUUUUCCCUCAAUGAAGAUAGUGGAAUACUAAUUCUGUUCAUUCUUGUACAUUAGAUAAUAUGACUGGUGUGGGUGGGUGGGAAGAUUGAUUAAGUUGUCACUAAGGGUCCCUAAAUGUCACGUUAAAGGUGCAUUAAUCAAUUGUUUUUAUUCCUUACUUAUACAAAUGACAUGGAAGAUACGUAGAACAGGAUAAUAAAUAAAUGAUUUUUUUUUUAAAAUUGAUUAAGUUACAACCUUAGCAAAAGUGUAUAAAGGAGGAAAAAAAACAAAACAAAAAAACAAAAGAGACUUCUGGUCCGUAAUGCUUGUUUGUGUUUGGUUGCGCCUCCUGACAGUCAUUUUAUAGGCACUCUACGGGCCACAUAGAUCCUGAGGAUCCCACCUAGCUUUGUGAACAUGGGCAGGAAUCAUUCAAAUGUCGAGCCCACGUAACUGCUAUAGACAUAAUCUUGGGGUUAAAAAAAACCCCAACAGAAGAAAACAAAAAAACCUCACCUAAUGCAUCUAAGUUAAAGCGCACCCAUCAUGGUUUUGAAAUAGGGCUGGACGAUUAAUCGAAAAGUAACCGAAACUGAAAUUCAGAACCUCUAACGACGUAAUUUCCCUUUGUUGAUUAUUUUAAAAAAAUUUUUUUUAUUCCUGUUACUACUUUCCCUUUAAGAACAUACUACUGCGUGUGUAGUCACGCGACUCCGCCCCGUCCGGUCAGCGGCACGGAAGCAACAUGGAGAUGGACUCAAACACCGAGAUAACUGAGCAAGAGGAACAGCUUGUACCAAAGAAAAACACAGUGUCCCUCAUUUGGACGCAUUUUGGCUUCAGUAAAGAAGACACCGAACAAAAUUUCGUCAAAUGCAAACAUUGCAGAAAAACCAUUUCAGCGACCAAAGUUGAAAGACGUGUUCAGACAACACGCCGAUGGAUUUGAUCUAAAACGGAUCAUAAGGUUUUGCACAAACUUGCGGAGCUCGAUUGCACGGUCAUUAAACCGAAAAAUGGGACGGACCAAAUCCUAAGAAACUCUGAAAUGCAUGUAAAUAAAUUUUCACUCGA